AUGUCUUUCAAGUUCAGUAGUUUAGAAUUUUAGAAGUUUAAUGAUUAUUAACUAUUUUAAUUUUGGCACAAGAAACUGUGGUAAAGUUAUAUGAUGCCAAUUUAAAAAAUAAAUUUUGAGAUAAAUUACUCAAUUUCAGGAUCGUUACUUGAGGUAAACCAUCACCGCUUCUUUCCACGGGCACAACUCUUGAAGUAUGUUCAAAUGGUCCAAAUCAGAACCCCGCCCACCCUCUCCUGAGACUCUUAUUGAAGAAUGGAGGAAAAUACCAUGGGGCCACAAAGAGAGAGACCUUCAGUAUGUGGAGGAUUAUCAGCCUCAUAAUGAAGACCUCAAACAGCUCAGAAUUCUGCUUUAUGGACCGACUGGUUCUGGCAAGUCCAGUUUCGUCAACUCUGUCGACAGUCUUUUACAAGGCAGAAUCACUGGUCGAGCUUUGGCUGAUGCAACCUCUGGCGACAGCU